rnacentral:rRNA from 1 species
GACGGGGCCGCACAAGCGGUGAGCAUGUGGUUUAAUUCGAUGCAACGCGAAGACCUUACCUGGACUUGACAUCUCGGGAAUCCCCUGGAAACAGGGAGUGCCCUCGGGAGCCCGAAGACAGGUGCUGCAUGGCUGUCGUCAGCUCGUGUCGUGAGAUGUUGGGUUAAGUCCCGCAACGAGCGCAACCCUUGUCUUUAAUUGCCAUCAUUCAGUUGGGCACUUUAAAGAGACUGCCGGUGUUAAGCCGGAGGAAGGUGGGAUGACGUCAAGUCCUCAUGGCCUUUAUGUCCAGGGCUACACACGUGCUACAAUGGGUGGUACAAAGAGCAGCAAACUCGCGAGAGUAAGCGAAUCUCAAAAAGCCAUCCUCAGUUCGGAUUGGAGUCUGCAACUCGACUCCAUGAAGUUGGAAUCGCUAGUAAUCGCGGAUCAGCAUGCCGCGGUCGAAUACGUUCCCGGGCCUU